AACGAACGCUGGCGGCAUGCCUAAUACAUGCAAGUCGAACGAGAUCUUCGGAUCUAGUGGCGCACGGGUGCGUAACGCGUGGGAAUCUGCCCUUGGGUUCGGAAUAACUUCUGGAAACGGAAGCUAAUACCGGAUGAUGACGUAAGUCCACAGAUUUAUCGCCCAAGGAUGAGCCCGCGUAGGAUUAGCUAGUUGGUGGGGUAAAGGCCCACCAAGGCGACGAUCCUUAGCUGGUCUGAGAGGAUGAUCAGCCACACUGGGACUGAGACACGGCCCAGACUCCUACGGGAGGCAGCAGUAGGGAAUAUUGGACAAUGGGGGAAACCCUGAUCCAGCAAUGCCGCGUGAGUGAUGAAGGCCUUAGGGUUGUAAAGCUCUUUUACCCGGGAUGAUAAUGACAGUACCGGGAGAAUAAGCUCCGGCUAACUCCGUG
rnacentral:rRNA from 1 species